AGCUCUCCGAGUGGUGUGGAUGUUUAUUGGGCCUAAAGCAUCCGUAGCUGGCUAAGUUAGUCCCUUGUUAAAUCCACCGAAUUAAUCGUUGGAUUGCGGGGGAUACUGCUUAGCUAGGGGACGAGAGAGGCAGACGGUAUUUCCGGGGUAGGGUGAAAUCCUAUAAUCCCGGGAAGACCACCAGUGGCGAAGGCUGUCUGCUAGAACGCGCCCGACGGUGAGGGAUGAAAGCUGGGGGAGCGAACC
rnacentral:rRNA from 1 species